UACGUAGGGGGCAAGCGUUGUCCGGAUUUAUUGGGCGUAAAGAGCGUGUAGGCGGCCUGACAAGUCUGCUGUGAAAACUCGAGGCUCAACCUCGAGAUGUCGGCGGAAACUGUCUGGCUAGAGUCCGGAAGAGGAGAGUGGAAUUCCUGGUGUAGCGGUGAAAUGCGCAGAUAUCAGGAAGAACACCCGUGGCGAAGGCGGCUCUCUGGGGACGGUACUGACGCUGAGACGCGAAAGCGUGGAGAGCGAACAGG
rnacentral:rRNA from 1 species